GAUGAACGCUGGCGGCGUGCCUAAUACAUGCAAGUCGAGCGAACGGACGAGAAGCUUGCUUCUCUGAUUUUAGCGGCGGACGGGUGAGUAACACGUGGAUAACCUACCUAUAAGACUGGGAUAACUUCGGGAAACCGGAGCUAAUACCGGAUGAUAUUUUGAACCUCAUGGUUCAAAAGUGAAAGACGGUCUUGCUGUCACUUAUAGAUGGAUCCGCGCUGCAUUAGCUAGUUGGUAAGGUAACGGCUUACCAAGGCAACGAUGCAUAGCCGACCUGAGAGGGUGAUCGGCCACACUGGAACUGAGACACGGUCCAGACUCCUACGGGAGGCAGCAGUAGGGAAUCUUCCGCAAUGGGCGAAAGCCUGACGGAGCAACGCCGCGUGAGUGAUGAAGGUCUUCGGAUCGUAAAACUCUGUUAUUAGGGAAGAACAUAUGUGUAAGUAACUGUGCACAUCUUGACGGUACCUAAUCAGAAAGCCACGGCUAACUACGUG
rnacentral:rRNA from 1 species